AGAGUUUGAUCCUGGCUCAGGACGAACGCUGGCGGCAUGCCUAACACAUGCAAGUCGAACGAGAAAGUUCCUUCGGGAGCAAUUAAAGUGGCGCACGGGUGAGUAACGCGUAGACAAUCUGCCCUUCAGUCUGGGACAACUUUUCGAAAGGAGAGCUAAUACCGGAUAACAAUGCAUGACACAAGUUGUAUAUUUGAAAGCUUUAUGUGCUGAAGGAGGGGUCUGCGUCCCAUUAGCUAGUUGGUAAGGUAAAGGCUUACCAAGGCAACGAUGGGUAGCGGGUUUGAGAGGACGAUCCGCCACACUGGAACUGAGACACGGUCCAGACUCCUACGGGAGGCAGCAGUGGGGAAUAUUGCACAAUGGAGGAAACUCUGAUGCAGCAAUGUCGCGUGAGUGAAGAAGGCCCUUGGGUCGUAAAGCUCUUUUAUGGGGGAAGAUGAUGACGGUACCCCAAGAAUAAGCACCGGCUAACUAUGUGCCAGCAGCCGCGGUAAUACAUAGGGUGCGAGCGUUGUUCGGAAUUACUGGGCGUAAAGGGCGCGCAGGCGGAAUAGUAAGUCGGAGGUGAAAGCCCGGGGCUCAACCCCGGAGGGUCUUUCGAAACUACUAAUCUAGAGAGGGUCAGGGGCCGGCAGAAUUCCUGGUGUAGAGGUGAAAUUCGUAGAUAUCAGGAGGAAUACCGGUGGCGAAGGCGGCCGGCUGGGGCCACUCUGACGCUGAGGCGCGAAAGCGUGGGGAGCAAACAGGAUUAGAUACCCUGGUAGUCCACGCCGUAAACGAUGAGCACUGGACGUCCGGAGGGUUCGACCCUUCUGGGUGUCUCAGCUAACGCAUUAAGUGCUCCGCCUGGGGAGUACGGUCGCAAGACUAAAACUCAAAGGAAUUGACGGGGACCCGCACAAGCGGUGGAACAUGUGGUUUAAUUCGAUGCAACGCGAAGAACCUUACCUGGGCUUGACAUGUUCAUGAAAGCUUUGUGAAAGCAGAGCCCUCUGCGAGCUUGCUCAAAGACAUGAUCACAGGUGGUGCAUGGCUGUCGUCAGCUCGUGUCGUGAGAUGUUUGGUUAAGUCCAGUAACGAGCGCAACCCCUUUCCUUAGUUGCCAGCACAUUAUGGUGGGGACUCUAAGGAUACUGCCUGGGAUAACCAGGAGAAAGGUGGGGAUGAUGUCAAGUCAGUAUGUCCCUUAUGUCCAGGGCUACACACGUGUUACAAUGGCUAGUACAAAGGGUUGCCAACCCGCGAGGGGGAGCCAAUCCCAAAAAACUAGCCCCAGUUCAGAUUGGAGUCUGCAACUCGACUCCAUGAAGGAGGAAUCGCUAGUAAUCGUGGAUCAGCACGCCACGGUGAAUACGUUCCCGGGUCUUGUACACACCGCCCGUCACGCCAUGGAAGUCAGCAGUACCCAAAGCAGGUCGCCUAACCUUCGGGAGGGAGCCUUUUAAGGUAAGGCUGGUAACUGGGGCGAAGUCGUAACAAGGUAACC
rnacentral:rRNA from 1 species